CUACUGGGGUAUCUAAUCCUGUUCGCUACCCACGCUUUCGUCCAUCAGCGUCAGUUAAAUCUUAGUGACCUGCCUUCGCAAUUGGUGUUCUAAGUAAUAUCUAUGCAUUUCACCGCUACACUACUUAUUCCAGCCACUUCAAAUUUACUCAAGACCUGCAGUAUCAAUGGCAGUUUCAUAGUUAAGCUAUGAGAUUUCACCACUGACUUACAAGUCCGCCUACGGACCCUUUAAACCCAAUAAAUCCGGAUAACGCUUGCACCCUCCGUAUUACCGCGGCUGCUGGCAC
rnacentral:rRNA from 1 species